CGGGUGAGGGGGGGGGGACUCCAAAUACAGGUACUGAGGUCUAUAAGCACAGAGCAGGUGUGUAAACAGGUGAGGGGGGGGGACUCCAAAUACAGGUACUGAGGUCUAUAAGCGCAGAGCAGGUGUGUAAACAGGUGAGGGGGGGGGACUCCAAAUACAGGUACUGAGGUCUAUAAGCGCAGAGCAGGUGUGUAAACAGGUGAGGGGGGGGGACUCCAAAUACAGGUACUGAGGUCUAUAAGCGCAGAGCAGGUGUGUAAACAGGUGAGGGGGGGGG